GAUUAACACGAAAUCACACAUAAUAGGAAAAUUAAGUUGAUGAGAAUUGACUAAAUACAAACCACGAAGUCAAACAAUUAUAAAAACUCUCUCUUGGAUGGAGAACCUAAGCAAGCACUACAAGGCAAUUGAGGCACCACCCAUACUACCGAUUUGGUUUUCACCGACGGUGAUUCAUCAUCCUCCGACCAAGAAGAGACUUGUGUCUAAUUAGCUAGUUGGUGAAGUAAUAACUUACCAAGGCAAUGAUUAACAGCUAGUCUGAGAGGAUAAUCAUCCACACUAGGACUCAGAUAUAACCCAGACUCCUAUGGGAGACAAUAGUAGCAAUUUUUUGCAAUAGGCGAAAGUUGAUAGAGCAAUGUCGCGUAGAGGCAGAAGGUCCAUGGGUCUGAACUUCUUUUUCCGAAUAAGAGGCAAUGAGGGUAUCUAAAAUAUAAUCAUCGGAUAACUUUUUGCCAGAAACCAUGGUAAGGUAGAGAAUGGAAGCGUUAUC
rnacentral:rRNA from 1 species